UCUCUAUAAAAGCCAACCCUCUCACGCCUCAGAAUCGAUCAUAAGAGCACCGCCGAAGACGAUAAGAUGAGGACAGUCGUCAAGAGUCGUGCUUCUCUCCUCCUCACACUCGUCAUCGUCGUCUUCCUCGUCACAGCGAGAGGGGAGACGACCCCUGUGAAGGAAGCGAACCCGCAUAUUACAUACGGUGCCCUGCGCCCUAGCACUCAGCCCGCGCGCCCCGGAGGACCCUAUACGAGGAGAUGCAGGAACACUGUUUACUGCCGUGCGUCUUCGACCCGUCCGCCUCCGCCUCCGCCUCCGCCUUCGACCCCAUGAUAGGCUACUUCAGCAGCAUGGAGGAGUAGUUCCUUUGACGACGCAAAAUAUAUACAGGAGGCAGAUACGUACAAUAUAUAUAUAUAUAUAUAUAUAUAUAUAUAUAUAUAUAUCACUUCUCUCCUAAACUUUUUCCAUGGUUGAAAUUGUUGUUACCUUAAAAUCCCUUAGCAAUGGUAAAAGCUCUAGACCUGAUGGAUAUACUGUUGAAUUUAUAAAUUAUAUUGGAUUA